GAAGAAGAAGAAGAAGACUGCCGUACUGCAACGUUAUGUUGUUUUUCUUGGUCAGAGAAAAAAGUUAAUUCACGUCCUUUCAUUGUAUUUUCUGCAACAGCAAUUCACACUUUAAACUACACCUGGAGCCUCCGACGUAUUUUAGAUACUGAUGAUUGUUCGUUUCUGUCCUCUGUGGACACCAUCACGCUGGGGAGGAAAGACGGGACUGAAGAAGGACCGGACAAAGACUUGUUAUCGAGGGAAGCCUCGUGGAGAAUGAACGUUUCCUGCAGAUGUGCAGCAGCUGAUUCCAGAGGGGUUUCCUUGUAAAAGAAGUCUGGACCUAGAGUCCCAUCUCCAAAAAAGUUGAACCAGAAGAACUAUGUCCCAAUCAAGAUGGAGAACAGUCGAUGAUGGGAUGAUGGAGAGUGUCACCAGUCUACCAAUUAUGAUGGCUCCUCUAAAGAGUGAAGAUGAUAAUAAAGAACCUCAGCCGUGUUCAUAUUCAGCCUAUCAUCAUCAAACCAAAACUGAGGGCAACACAGAGGUAGAGACUCCAACCACCAACCCAGCUAAACAGAUUAAAUCAGAAACUGAUGGAGAUGACUUUGGAGGACAAGAAAUAACCAGUAAUCCAGACCCAAACAUUUAUUUACAACCAAAUAGUGACAGAAAGGCUUCAGGCUUUUCUGAGAUACAUUUGUCACAUUUUGGACCUGAAAUGGAAGACGAUGAUAAAAGCUGGAAUGGCAACAAGGCACAUGGAUCAGGUGUAAACAGUGAUGUGGAGUCUAACACGGCCAAAAAGUCACUGAGCAGCUGUGAAUGUGGUGAGGAAUUUCACGACCGACAACAUCUCCAGAGACACUUAACAAAAAGGUCUUUGAGCUGUUUGAACAGAAAGAAAUGUUUUAGAUC